rnacentral:rRNA from 1 species
AUGUACGUGCAGGGGCACACGUGGUCGGUCAGCGAGAAGUACAUCCUCGCGUGCGACUCGCCGAUGCUGGCCAUCGACACGCCCUUCAGGGACUUCUUCUCGCGGGGGCUCGUCGCCGGCAAGCACUACUGGCCCAUCGACCCGGCCAACAAGUGCCGCGCCGUCAAGUUCGCCGUCGACUGGGGCAACGCCCACCCGGCGCCGGCGCGGCGCAUGGGCGAGGAAGGCAGCGGGUUCGCGAGGGAGGAGAUGGGCAUGGACUACGUGUAUGAGUACAUGCUGAGCGUGUUGACGCGGUACAGCGCCCUGCUCGGCUGCUCCGGUACAGGCCCGCCGUGCCGGAGAAGGCCGUGGAGGUCAGCCUCGAGUCCAUGGCCUGCCCCAGGCGCGGCCGCGAGCGGGAGUACAUGA